UUGAAUUUAGAACUGUCAGGCACCCCUCAGUGCUACCCCUGAAUGUGCUGUGUGGGGAGACCCAACUUUCUGGCUCCAGCUCUUCCGAUAGGUGUUAUUCCCUUCCCUGCUGCCCUGACUCCACCCUUCAGUAAGAAAGGUUUGAGGAAUACUCGCGGAUAACUGAACUGUGUGUGCGCAAACUGCAUCCCUUACCCACGGAUAGCUGCCUGUUGGUGUAGGGGCUGGACUCCAGAAUCAGUCUGCCAUCCGAAGGAAACAAGAGCUCAGCCAUCAGGCCUGGCUUUCACCGAGGCUAUGGUGAACAGAGAACAGAAGCAUCAUGCAUCCUGUAAGAACCUAAGAAGCUGGGCGUAGACACCACGGAGCCCCAAGGGGGUUGGCAGCAAUCUCUUCUCAGAACCAUGGAUAAGCAGAGAGCAGCUGAAAGCGACCCUCCUGCCAGCCCCAGAGGUACAGAUGACCAG